GCAAGGCAGGUGGAGUCCCACGGACCCUGGGCGGGGAAGCCCGGGUCUUGGCCUGGGUCUCACGCUGCCUUGGCCGCAGACAGCUGUGCCUCUGAGCAAGUGAAGCCCCUGCCCCCCCAGCCCAGCUCCUCUCAAGAUGAGGGCACUGGGGACAGGAAUCGGGAGAGGCCCGAGGCCCCCGGGGUGGUGCUCGUUGAAUGACAGACAGCUACGCGACAUCGGCAUUUAUCGCCGGGGAGGCCCAGGCUCCAGGGGGGUCUCGGGCUCCCAGGCCUUCCUGCUCGCACUGCCUGCCGCUGCGACUGACACGUGUCACCACUCGUGACCGGGCAGGUUGAGACCCCCCUGGGGAUUGCCUGCUGCCGCCAGCUGGCCAGCAGGGCCUGGAGCCGCGGACUGCCCACCGUGGGGAUUACUGGCCUGGUGGAUUAGCCACAGGGCCCUGCACCUGCUGCCCCACUGAGCCACGCUGGAGGGCUCGGGGUCCAGCCCAGGGCGCCCUGAGUGCUUGAGCCAGACUGAGUGAAGGCAUUUUGGGGACCUAGCCUGUGACUUCGGUUGGAAAAAGGAACCCCCGGUGUUUUGUCACAACUGCUUUCUGUCUCGUACGUGUGCCACGCACACGUCUCUUGGCCUUUGUUCUGGAUGCGUGGGGUUGCCGCUGAAGGUUUAAGGAGUGGGGUGCCGUUUGGGCAUUUGUGUAUGAAGGACGCUCUGGGGUGCGCUUGGGCCAGACCGCUUUUCAUCGCUCACCCCUUUUCCCACGUUGAAUAACGCACAUCUCGGAACUCUCUCUGUUUUAUGGGAACCACGGGGCUGCGUCUUUCCCGUAUUCGAUUGGGCUACCAGUCUUUCUCUUAUUGAUUUGUGGGAGCUCUUUAUAUAUCGUGAGAGUUUUUUGUUGUUUUUUUUUUUAAUGCGUGACACAGGCGUAAGUAGUCGUCCCCCAUUUUCUCUUAUGAUGAUAGUUGAUUUCGGGCGGGUAUCUUGGUAUUUAUGUGGUCAAGUUUAUCCAUCUCUCCUUGACGGUUUCUCAGUUUGAUAUCACGGAUGGAAACGUGUUCUCCGUCCUGAGGUUCUAAUUCUUCUAGUACUAAGGUAGUUUCACCUUUUUCUAAGCAUUUAAAGUCCUGCUCUAUUUGGGACGUGCCCCCGCGUACGGUGUAUGAGGAUUUCAUCGUUCCACGGUUUUCCAGGGGGCUCGGGGUUGCCCCAACGGUUUCUGGAAAAUCUGCUUGCCUCACCGAUUUGAGAUGCCCCCUUUAUUACAUCCCAGAUUCCUGCAUGCGGCUGGUCUAUUUCUGGACUUUCUAUUCUGUCCCGCUCAUCUGCCUGUCUUCUUGCAGCAGGCGAGCCUGUAACUACGAGUAAUAACACGUUUCCUUCAAAAAGCAGCAGACUGCCCUGUGGUCAGGAGACAGGGAGGACUUCUGUCUUGCCCUCUCUGUUUCUAGGAGGAGGUAACCAACCGUCAGUCAUUCCAGGUGGUUUUCUGCAUUUGCACGUCCCUUUAAUUUUUUUUUUUUAACAUAGUAUUUUGAAAACGUUCAAGCCUGCAGAAAAGUUGCAAGAUACUGUGGCAACAGCCCGAGGCUCUUAGCUGAGAUUGGCCAGCUGCCGACACAUCUCUCUGAAUGGGUGUUAGCGCCUGUGUGCGAUUUUGCGGGUCCUUUGAGAGUCAGUUGGAAGGAAGCCCCUUCGUCCUUAAGUACAGAGAUCACGUCCGUGUGCAACCUCACGCUGUGUGUGCUUCUGCGUAAAGACCCUUGUCACAUACAUACUGGUGCGUCGUUAGCAGCGACCUCGUGACGAGCAGCGCCAACUCCUGCCGGAUGGAAGCGUGUCUAACGCACUUUCUGAGGCGCGUCGCCGUCCUCUGGGCUCAGAACACCCGACCACCGCAGCUCUGGGCCUGGGGGCCGCUGUGAACGGUGAAAACCACCAACAAACGGCACAAAAGCGUAAAACCCGCCUCUCAGUAGCCCACAGAAAGGGCCCCCGUCUACAGCACAAGAGGGGAGACAGGAAGCAGACUAGGCUCGGCUGGACGCGUGCACGGGAGGUGACCGUUUUCGGUGCCCCGCGUGCGUCUGCAGGUGACCGGGAAGGGCUCCCGAGUACCGAUCGGGGGCUGCGGUAGCCGGGGGGGGUGGGGGGGGCGGGUCUGCAGAUGCGCAAUCGGAAUGGUGAGCAGCUCUGUACCCUGAGGGCAGACGCCCCCUCCGCUAAGUGCAGAGAUCAAGUUCAGGAAGUGUAACAUCCGUGCAGAGUCCACAGUCAGGAUCCACGUUGUGCCGGUGUGUCCAGAGUUGUCCCGGAUGGCGAUCUUUGGUCCCUCGCUAGGAUCCGGGAUCACACUCGGAGACCUGGGAGCGGCUGGUCUCCCGGGCCCAACCCCAGCACCGGAACCUUCUGCCUGAGCAGCUCCGGAGCUUUGGAAAGCCGUCCGCCGGCCUAAGGCCUGCCGAGUUCUGGAUUCAUGGCCACCCUCCCCCCAUCCUUUGCAAGGCUUCCUGUUUACCACUCCGGGAACAUUCGCCUUGUGCAGUGAGAUCGAGAUCGGGCGGGGAUGCAGGAGGGGGCAGAACGCGUGGGA